CCUCCUACCUGUUGGUUGGCUGUGAAUGCAGACCCUAGAGAUGAAGGCUCUGCUCCUGACCAUUAGCUUCUGUCUGGUUGCUGUCCUGCAGUCCCAGGACUCUUCAUUCCUUGCUUUCAAUAAUGAGAAUUUUUCCGGAAAGUGGUUCCUGAAGGCCUUGGUGUCAGAAGACAACAUCCCAAUAAGCAAGGUUUCUCCCAUGUUAAUCUUGGUGCUGAACAAUGGGGACAUGGAGCUUUCUAUCACACAUAUGCUCUAUGAUCAGUGUUUUAAAGUGACCACCAUCUUGGAGAAAACAGAUGUGCCUGGCCAGUACCUUGCCUUUGAGGGUCAGACCCACCUGCAGGUGCAGCUGUCUUCUGUGAAGGGCCACUACAUGUUCUACUGUGAUGGGGAGAUAGAGGGGAUGAGAUUCUCGAUGACACAGCUCAUAGGGACCCCCAGGAAAAUUUGGAGGCCUUGGAGGAAUUUAAGGCGUUCACACGGCUAAAGGGACUUGUAGCAGAGAACCUGGUCAUCCUUGAGCAGAUGGAAAAAUGUGAACCAGGGAGUUUCUAAGAGCUCCCAAGCCGCCCAAGGGAGUGAGUGCCGCCAGCAUGUCUGUCCCGUGGGAGAUGGAAAGAGUGGCCUGCUGGAUCCUCCAACUCCCCUUCUCUCUUCCCUCA